rfam:Cellulomonas sp. A375-1 contig_13, whole genome shotgun sequence.
UCCGGUCCUCGGUAGUGGCCCCCGGAGCCUUGCUCCGUGAGCCUCGAUCGAAGACCGCC